CCUACGGGUGGCAGCAGUGGGGAAUAUUGGACAAUGGGCGAAAGCCUGAUCCAGCCAUGCCGCGUGUGUGAAGAAGGCCUUCGGGUUGUAAAGCACUUUCAGUGGGGAAGAAAGCCUUGGGGCUAAUACCCUCGAGGAAGGACAUCACCCACAGAAGAAGCACCGGCUAACUCCGUGCCAGCAGCCGCGGUAAUACGGAGGGUGCGAGCGUUAAUCGGAAUUACUGGGCGUAAAGCGCGCGUAGGCGGUCUGAUAAGCCGGUUGUGAAAGCCCCGGGCUCAACCUGGGAACGGCAUCCGGAACUGUCAGGCUAGAGUGCAGGAGAGGAAGGUAGAAUUCCCGGUGUAGCGGUGAAAUGCGUAGAGAUCGGGAGGAAUACCAGUGGCGAAGGCGGUCUUCAGGACUGACACUGACGCUGAGGUGCGAAAGCGUGGGUAGCAAACAGGAUUAGAUACCCCUGUAGUC
rnacentral:rRNA from 1 species